UACGGAGGGGCUAGCGUUGUUCGGAAUUACUGGGCGUAAAGCGCACGUAGGCGGACUGUUAAGUCGGGGGUGAAAUCCUGGGGCUCAACCUCAGAAUUGCCUCCGAUACUGGCAGUCUCGAGUGCGGGAGAGGUGAGUGGAAUUCCCGGUGUAGAGGUGAAAUUCGUAGAUAUUGGGAAGAACACCAGUGGCGAAGGCGGCUCACUGGCCCGUAACUGACGCUGAGGUGACGAAAGCGUGGGGAGCAAACAGG
rnacentral:rRNA from 1 species